CGCGGCCUAUCAGCUUGUUGGUGGGGUGAUGGCCUACCAAGGCGACGACGGGUAGCCGGCCUGAGAGGGCGACCGGCCACACUGGGACUGAGACACAGCCCAGACUCCUACGGGAGGCAGCAGUGGGGAAUAUUGCACAAUGGGCGAAAGCCUGAUGCAGCGACGCCGCGUGAGGGAUGACGGCCUUCGGGUUGUAAACCUCUUUCACCCAUGACGAAGCGUAAGUGACGGUAGUGGGAGAAGAAGCGCCGGCCAACUACGUGCCAGCAGCCGCGGUAAGACGUAGGGCGCGAGCGUUGUCCGGAUUUAUUGGGCGUAAAGAGCUCGUAGGCGGCUUGUUGCGUCGGCUGUGAAAACCCAUGGCUUAACCGUGGGCUUGCAGCCGAUACGGGCAGGCUAGAGUUCGGUAGGGGAGACUGGAAUUCCUGGUGUAGCGGUGAAAUGCGCAGAUAUCAGGAGGAACACCGGUGGCGAAGGCGGGUCUCUGGGCCGAUACUGACGCUGAGGAGCGAAAGCGUGGGGAGCGAACAGGAUUAGAUACCCUGGUAGUCCACGCUGUAAACGUUGGGCGCUAGGUGUGGGGGACCUCUCCGGUUCUCUGUGCCGCAGCUAACGCAUUAAGCGCCCCGCCUGGGGAGUACGG
rnacentral:rRNA from 1 species